rnacentral:rRNA from 1 species
UACGGGGGGGGCAAGCGUUGUUCGGAAUUACUGGGCGUAAAGGGCCAGUAGGCGGCCAACUAAGUCCGACGUGAAAUCCCAAGGCUUAACCUUGGAACUGCGUCGGAUACUGGAUGGCUUGAAUUCGGGAGAGGGAUGCAGAAUUCCAGGUGUAGCGGUGAAAUGCGUAGAUAUCUGGAGGAACACCCGCGGUGUAGACGGCCUGCUGGACCACGACUGACGCUGAGGCACGAAAGCGUGGGGAGCAAACAGG